UGGUCAUUACCAAGGCUUUUAGAAUGAUGUUUCCCAUUUGCUAUGGACAUGACCAUAAAAAAAAAAUUCCCACUAGGUUUUCUGUCUGCUACCUUGUUAGCAAUCAACCUGUUGGAAACAUUA
rnacentral:snoRNA from 1 species